ACUCCUACGGGAGGCAGCAGUGGGGAAUAUUGCACAAUGGGGGAAACCCUGAUGCAGCCAUGCCGCGUGUGUGAAGAAGGCCUCGGUUGUAAAGCACUUUCAGUAGGGAGGAAGGUAGUGUAGUUAACACCUGCAUUAUUUGACGUUACCUACAGAAGAAGCACCGGCUAACUCCGUGCCAGCAGCCGCGGUAAUACGGAGGGGUGCGAGCGUUAAUCGGAAUUACUGGGCGUAAAGCGCAUGCAGGCGGCCUGUUAAGUCAGAUGUGAAAGCCCGGGGGCUUAACCUCGGAAUUGCAUUUGAAACUGGCAGGCUAGAGUCUUGUAGAGGGGGUAGAAUUUCAGGUGUAGCGGUGAAAUGCGUAGAGAUCUGAAGGAAUACCAGUGGCGAAGGCGGCCCCCUGGACAAAGACUGACGCUCAGAUGCGAAAGCGUGGGGAGCAAACAGGAUUAGACACCCUGGUAGCACAGAG
rnacentral:rRNA from 1 species